GAGUAGCAAAGAUGGCUGCCAUAGCUUGCUGUCUGCUCGCCAGCCUGCCCUACACACGUUGUGGAGUGUCACUCUAGGACAUUUUGCUUCAGACAUGUGUAAACAUCCCAGGAGCAAUCACUGCAGUGGUUACACCACAUUAAUCCAAAAGUAAUAAGUCACCCCAACCCGAAUUCAACUGUUUUAGCCCUUGCUGCAGGAUCUAUCUCCAGAAACACACAUGAAAUAACCCUGGGGCUGGCAGAUGACAAUGACAUCAAGAGGAUUCUCGCUAAAAUAUCUAUUGUUUGGUAAAGAGAUAUGCAUAACACAAGGAAAUCUAGAAAGUGAGCUGUUUUAACUCAGCAGAAUAUGCUAUAGGUCUGCAUCACAGAUUUAAAGUAAUUGUUAUGACCCCAUUAGGCUGGAAGAGCCUCCUUUGGUUGAAGUUGAUCUGCUGUUGUCACCAAGUCUGAUUUUUCUGUUGACUAGAGGAUGCCAAGGCACAGCUUCGCUUUCACCAUCUGGCUAUCAUGAAGCAUUUAAAGGAACAAACAGAUACGUUCGGAAACAGUUACGUUCGGGGGUUUCCUACCAAAUGUAAGACCUAGAAAUGUCACAAUUAACUCUGUCCCAUUUUACACCCCUAUAUAUGUGAGAGUGGCUAAAACUUUUAAUAAUAAAAUAUUAAAA